ensembl:lncRNA
GUUUCUAUCCCUCAGGUCGGGAAGAUCCCCUGGAGGAGGAAAUGACAUUCUACUCCAGUAUUUUUGCCUGGGAAAUCCCGUGGCUAGAGGAGCCUGGAGGGCUACAGUCCAUAGGGUCGGAAAGAGUUACUUGGUAGCCUGGUUCUCAUAGAAGCUGCCAGUAGAAAUUGCCCCACUCUCCCACCUUCAGGAACUCUGCUCACAUGCGCCUGCAACAGCAAUGGAGCUCAGUCCCAAACUCAGCUCUAAGUACAUGUUGGAAAUUUUGAACCAUAAAACAAAAAUCUAGGUCUGAGUUCAUGUUAAGAGGAAUUCCACAGAAAAGAAAUUCCUGGAGCACUUUUAAAAAACAAUGGUAAUAACACCUCCCUACUGAAGAGGAAAGCUUUGAGCCAUCCAUUAAAACAAAGUCACACAGCCAAGCCGUGAGAGUGUCCCAUUUCCUGGAAACAGUCAAUAAAAUCAAUUUGCAGCUUUGCCAUCAGGCCCCAGAAGGCUGGUGGAUGGUGUCUCCUGGUAGAGUUGUUCAGUCGCUCAGUCAUGUCCAACUCUUUGUGACCUCAUGGAUUACCAGGCUUCCUUGUUCAUUGCCAACUCCUGGAGCUUGCCCAAACUCAUGUCCUUCAAGUAGGUGAUGCCAUCCAACCAUCUCAUCCUCUG